rnacentral:rRNA from 1 species
CCUACGGGGUGCAGCAGUGGGGAAUAUUGCACAAUGGGCGCAAGCCUGAUGCAGCCAUGCCGCGUGUAUGAAGAAGGCCUUCGGGUUGUAGAGUACUUUCAGCGAGGAGGAAGGCGUUAAGGUUAAUAACCUUAGCGAUUGACGUUACUCGCAGAAGAAGCACCGGCUAACUCCGUGCCAGCAGCCGCGGUAAUACGGAGGGUGCAAGCGUUAAUCGGAAUUACUGGGCGUAAAGCGCACGCAGGCGGUCUGUCAAGUCGGAUGUGAAAUCCCCGGGCUCAACCUGGGAACUGCAUUCGAAACUGGCAGGCUAGAGUCUUGUAGAGGGGGGUAGAAUUCCAGGUGUAGCGGUGAAAUGCGUAGAGAUCUGGAGGAAUACCGGUGGCGAAGGCGGCCCCCUGGACAAAGACUGACGCUCAGGUGCGAAAGCGUGGGGAGCAAACAGGAUUAGAUACCCUCGUAGUC